CCUACGGGCGGCAGCAGUGAGGAAUAUUGGUCAAUGGCCGCAAGCCUGAACCAGCCAAGUCGCGUGAGGGAUGACGGUCCUACGGAUUGUAAACCUCUUUUGUCAGGGAGCAAAGGGCGGCACGUGUGGCGUUUUGCGAGUACCUUAAGAAAAGCAACGGCGAACUCCGUGCCAGCAGCCGCGGUAAUACGGGGGAUGCGAGCGUUAACCGGAUUUAUUGGGGUUAAAGGGGGCGCAGGCGGAAUGUCAAGUCAGCGGGAAAAUUUCGGGGGUCAAACCCGUCGUGCCGUUGAAACUGGCGGUCUUGAGUGAGAGAGAGGUAUGCGGAAUGCGUGGUGUAGCGGUGAAAUGCAUAGAUAUCACGCAGAACUCCGAUUGCGAAGGCAGCUUACCGGCGCUCAACUGACGCUCAUGCACGAAAGCGUGGGUAUCGAACAGGAUUAGAUACCCCUGUAGUC
rnacentral:rRNA from 1 species